ensembl:lncRNA
CCAGAUUAGACUCAUAAAGAGGAUAACCAUGUUGAAGGAGACCAGAUUAGACUCAUAAUGAGGCUAACCAUGUUGAAGGAGACCAGAUUAGACUCAUAAUGAGGCUAACCAUGUUGAGGUUGACAGGCUCAGGGGAGACAUUAUGAAGGUGGGCCUUGAGGUUGAGGCUCAGAGGAGAGACAUUAUGAAGGUGGGCCUUGAGGUUAACAUGCUCAGGGGAGACAUUAUCACAUAUCACUAUCAAGGUGUGCAGAAAGGAAUAUUUUAAGGUUAAUUUGAUUUAAUCUAAAAAGACAUUGCUAAAUAUGUUGCUUGAAAUGAUUUUGAAAUGAGUUCGCUUCAUGUUAUAUACCAUCCUGGUGUAAUUAAUAUGCAGUUCAACAUUAUCACCACAAGGUGUCAGCACUAGCAUUUGUAUAGUCUAGCUUUACUGUAACCAAACCACUAGCUAUGUCUCGUAACGUGAGGUUGAUAAUAUAUGAAUAGCACAAGCUAGCGGUUCAUUUAAACUACACUAUAUUUCUUAAUUGAAACUAAGUGGGCAAAAGACCUGGGUAAAAUAUAGAUGUGUUUUGGAGGAAAAGUCAACGAGCUGAGUGACAGAUUAGUGAGGGGGGGGGAGAAAGGUUGAUAGUGGGGUCAUUUUUAAACUGCUAGCUAACUUUGUUGUAAACAAUGAGUCCGUCAAACAUUGGAUACUAACUACAUUUAGUUUAGUUAUAUUGUUGGCUGUUGAGAGAGAAAUGAAUCCAGCUGGCUAACAAGGUCAACUGAUCUUUCUCUACCCUCACAUCACGCUAGCUCUGGCUGGCUAACAAGGUCAACUGAUCUUUCUCUACCCUCACAUCACGCUAGCUCUGUGGUUAUUUACUGUGCUAGCCUAAUGCAACACCACCAGAGCAAACGGAUAAUAAAUUAGAUAUAAACAUUGUCUCAUGACUGUGUUUAGUGGAUCUGGUAGCAAGUCAAUAGGUCAAUAAGUUGUUUUUUCAGUUUUUUGGUGGAUCAAGAAAUGCGAACUUGUCAUUUUGUGCUAGCUAGCCAACUACCUAGCUAGUUAGCAAUUAUGGGGUACCGCAGCACCGGAUGUUUACUGGGGAACCUCUUGGUUGCGCGUACAGAACGUGUUAUUAUUUUAUUUUGACAGUUGAAAAGGUCUAUAGUCUGGAUAAGUAAGUAUCCUUAUCUGAACCUCUCUCUCUCUCUCUUGUGAGGCAGCUUUUGAUGUACACAUUCACUGCCUGGACAGGAUGCUUGUCUAUUGCAGCCCAUAUCUAGAAUACAGUAUUUGUGUUUCUGGGUUCUUAUGAAGUCCAGCUCCUCAAGUAGUAUGGCCUAUCUUCUCCUUCUCUCUCUCCUCUCCCAC